UACGUAGGGUGCGAGCGUUGUCCGGCAUUAUUGGGCGUAAAGAGCUCGUAGGCGGUGUGUCGCGUCGGCCGUGAAAACCUGCAGCUUAACUGUGGGCUUGCGGUCGAUACGGGCAUCACUGGAGUUCGGCAGGGGAGACUGGAAUUCCUGGUGUAGCGGUGAAAUGCGCAGAUAUCAGGAGGAACACCGGUGGCGAAGGCGGGUCUCUGGGCCGAUACUGACGCUGAGGAGCGAAAGCGUGGGGAGCGAACAGG
rnacentral:rRNA from 1 species